ensembl:lncRNA
AGGUUCACCUGCUGAGCUGAUUCCAGGGAUCGGGCAAGAAGUCAAUGGGCAGCAGGUGAGGUUGCCGCUGUGAUCUCCUUCUGGUCGACUCUCCUCAGAAGAGAACAGGGCUGCUCCCUGUCCUUCAGCCCAGCUCUCCUGUUUUCUCAUCAUCUCAGCAGGACAGGAAAGACAGAACCUGCCAGAACCAAGAAUGAACAUGGUGAGAAGAGAGGCAGGCACAUGGUGGAUUGACUGCAGGGCAUGUGGAUCAGGCAAAAAGCCAGUGGGAUCAGGUGAGGUUGCUGCCGUGACCUCCUUCAGGUCGACCGUCCUACUCAGCAGAGACCAGACCUGCCCCUCGUCUUCCAGCCCUGCGUCUGGUGUGUUUUCUCAGCUCCUCAGCGGGACAAGAAAGGAUCGAGCCUGCCAGAACCAAGAGCUAGUUACUCCUUGCCUACCGGGAGCCGGCGUGAGGACCUCCACCCGUGGCAAAGGUCGUGAGGAAGGAGGCUCGACAUACACAAAGGCGGGAUCGAGCCUCAGGAGUCCCCCUGGAAAUCCUCGAGCAUCUACCCCCCAAAACCAGAGCCUUCCUACUUUACUACUUUGUGCUCUCACCUACACCUCUGACUUUACGGGUGGCUGUCCCCCACCACCUCUUUUGGAGAAGGAGUUAACUUAGAGCUCCAG